rnacentral:rRNA from 1 species
GACGUAGGGCGCGAGCGUUGUCCGGAUUUAUUGGGCGUAAAGAGCUCGUAGGCGGCUUGUCGCGUCGACUGUGAAAUCCCCGCGGCUCAACUGCGGGUCUGCAGUCGAUACGGGCAGGCGUAGAGUUCGGUAGGGGAGACUGGAAUUCCGGUGUAGCGGUGAAAAUGGCGCAGAUAUCAGGAGGAACACCGGUGGCGGAAGGCGGGUCUCUGGGCCGUAACUGACGCUGG